rnacentral:rRNA from 1 species
UACGAAGGGGGCUAGCGUUGCUCGGAAUCACUGGGCGUAAAGCGCACGUAGGCGGCUUUUUAAGUCAGGGGUGAAAUCCUGGAGCUCAACUCCAGAACUGCCUUUGAUACUGGGAGCUCGAGUCCGGGAGAGGUGAGUGGAACUCCGAGUGUAGAGGUGAAAUUCGUAGAUAUUGGGAAGAAGCACCAGUGGCGAAGGCGGCUCACUGGGCCGGUCCUGACGCUGAGACGCGAAGGCGUGGGGAGCGAACGGAG